AAAGGACGCACCCAUUCACAGCGCUUUGACUUCCUGCAUCUGUGGCUACAGCUGAUGCUUUCUAAGGGGCGGCACAUGCACUUCACUAACUGUAGCCUAAUGGGCUGUCGUGCAUUUUAACCGAAGUUAGUUCCUUUUAGUUUUCUUUUCUAACCCGGCUGUAACUUUGGUGUGGACCCAGCACAAUGAGGUGACUGCUGUCCUGUAAAUAUGGAUCAGAUAAAAGAAGCCAGGGUGCCGUGCUCCAGCCUCCUCACCUACCACAGAGAGCUGCUCGUGACCAGGCUGAGGAGCAUUCAGUGCAUCCUGGACAACCUGUUCACCUGUGGCUUCUUCUGUCAGGAGGAUGUUGAGAUUGUUCAGCAAACUGCCACCAAGGCUGAUCAGGUGCGCAAAAUCCUGGAGCUAGUCCAGUGCAAAGGGGAGGAGGCCUGUGAAUAUUUAAUCUUCAUAAUUUAUAAAGUAUGUGAUGCAUACAUAGACCUGCAGCCAUGGCUGAAAGAAAUCAACUACAACCCAAGUGAAGAUGUAACAGUGAUGAAGGUGGUUAACACUGAUCCAAUCAGCAGAUACUGUGAGAAGCUGAGACAUGACAUGAGCCGGGACACCAGCUUCAUCAUGUCCUAUGGCCAGCAAGAGGAGACGCGGCUGGAGGACCUCUACACUGACACUGUGAUGGAACUGUUAAAUGACUGCAACGAAAGCUUGGGCUUCUUAGAGAGUGUGGACCAGCUCCUGGGAGAUCACGCAGUUUUCAACCCCCAAGGUGAAAUCACCUACAUAAUGGGGGAUGCUGGUGUGGGAAAAUCCAUCCUUCUGCAGAAGCUCCAGAACCUCUGGUCCACAAAAGAGUUGCAGACGGAUGCCAUCUUCUUCUUUAAGUUUCGCUGUAGGAUGUUCAGCACCUUCAAGGACGCAGAACAGAUCUCUCUCAGAGACCUUUUGUUCAAACACAACUGCUACCCAGAUCACGAUCCAGACAAUGAAGUGUUUGAUUACAUCCUGCGCUUCCCUGAGAAAGUCGUUUUUACCUUUGACGGCUACGAUGAGAUUCAGGAGGACGUGGACCUGAUGAACCUGCCUGAGGUGGUUUCACCGGAGGAUAAGGCCAACCCGCUGCAGCUGCUUAUCAGCUUGCUCUGUGGGAAAUUACUCAAGGGCUCUCAAAAAGUGCUGACGGCCCGGACAGGGAUUGAGAUCCAAAGCAAGGUGAUCAGAAAGAAGGUGGCUCUGCGUGGGUUCUCCCCAGAUCACCUGAAGACUUACACUGACUUGCACUUUAAGGAGCAGGAGCACAGAGAGCUGGUAUCCAUUCAGCUGGAUGCCAGCCCCCACCUCUGGGGACUGUGCUCCACCCCGCUGUUCUGCUGGAUUGUAUUUAAGAGCUUUGGACACCUGCACACAAUGCACGACAGCUUUCAUCUGCCCGAAACCUGCAUCACGCUCACCGAUAUCUUCCUCCUGCUGUCCGAAGUGUUCCUCAGUCGCUCCGCUACACCUGCUCCGUCUUUGCUAAAGAAAAGCACCCGCUGCACCUCGGAGACGUUCAAAGCAGGGCUCAGGCCUCUUGUUGCGUUUGCCAAGUUGGCGCUGCAGGGUAUGGAGAGAGGUAGCUUCAUUUCCAGCCAAGAGGAGAUCAGUGAGUGCGGUGUGACAGAGGAAGAUCUGACUCUCGGCUUUCUCAGACCUCUUAGUGAGGAGGAUACCAGCGGGAGCUCCGCUACCUUUGAGUUCCUCCACAUGACCCUUCAGUCUUUCCUGGCAGCUUUUGCUCUGGUGUUGGAUGAGCAGGCUGCUGCCAGCUCCAUCCUCAAGUUCUUCACAGAGUGCAGCAGGAGAAGGAAGGUGUCUUGUCUGCCUCUUGAUUCCUGCAUAAGUAGCUCUUCAAAGCCCAGCGAAAAGAAGCCGUUUGCAAGCAACGAACACCUGCAGUUCACUAAUCUGUUCCUGUGCGGCCUGCUGUCCAAGAGUCAAAGAAGCUUGAUGGGACAUCUGGUGUCUCCCGUCUUACUGAAGAAGAAACGAGCCCUGCUGAAGUCGUACCUUUCCACUAGUGUCAAGUUCCACCUGCGUGGCUUACCCCACUACGACGGCCAAGAAGGCAAGAAAGUUCAUGUCUUGCCCAACUUCCUGUGGAUGCUGAGGUGCAUAUUCGAGACGGGAAGCAAAGACAUUGCUGAGAUGACGGCGAAAGGCAUCACGGCCGGCUUCAUCAAGCUGGGCUACUGUAACGUGUACUCGGGUGACUGCACCGCCCUGAACUUUGUGCUGCAGCACCGUCAGAAACUCCUGGGGCUCGACAUGGAUAACAACAACAUCAGCGACUAUGGGGUGAAGCAGCUCAAGCCUUCCUUUUGCAAGAUGACAGUAGUGAGACUGUGUGUGAAUCACCUGUCCGACCGCAGCAUUGAGAUUCUUGCAGAGGAGCUGUGCAAACACAAAGUUGUGGAGGUUUUGGGGCUUUACAACAAUAACAUCACAGAUGCUGGAGCCAGGCUUGUUGCUCAGAUCAUUGAAGAAUGUCCCAAACUGCGAGUUCUCAAGAUUGGUAAAAACAAGAUCACCAGUGUUGGUGGGAGGCAUCUGGCCAACGCCAUAAAGAAGAGCUCGUCAAUAUUUGACGUGGGGAUGUGGGGGAACAGUAUUGGCGAUGAGGGAGCAGAAGCAUUUGGAGAAGCUUUGAGGAACCACCCGAGCCUUACCAACCUCAGUCUGUCGGCCAAUUGCAUUACAUCCAGAGGUGGGCGGGGCCUGGCUGAAGCACUGAAAGAGAACACGGCACUCAGGAUAUUUUGGUUGGUGGAGAAUGAAAUGACUGAUGAUGCGGCUCCACACCUGGCUGACAUGAUUCAGGCAAACACUGGUCUGACCCACCUGUGGUUAAUCAGCAACCAGUUCACUGUGGAAGGGAUCAGGCAGCUCGCUGAGGCCCUCACUCACAACAAAGGACUCAAAGAGAUAUGGGACACCGGCGGACUGGGAUUGGGGACCCCUGACCUAAAGUGUCGGGCCAGUACGUGCCGCCAGAAGUAACGCUGGUGGUGGAGGAUGUGUUGAUCUCUUCGAUCUGGAGCUGAACUGGAUUCACACUGGACCCAGACUAGCAGGGAGAUGCCCUCUACAGCACUAGCGUGAAAGGAAACCGGCUCUCUGAAGAGGAAGAGCAGCAGUUUGUGUCAGAGAAGCGGCUGCGGUUCCACUGACUGGGCACCUCACAUGACGCAUGCACAGAGCUGUGUGAAGGAGGAAGUGUGUGCACUCGGUCCGUGUGCGCGAUGCUGGUGUCAGCAAACGGAUUUGGUGCAGUUUCACCCGAUGCUGUGGGGAUAAAGUCGCACCACCUCCAUAGUCUGUUUUUAUUUAUUUAUUAUUCUUAAUGGAAGAAAAAACAGAAUGUUUGUUUUUUAAAUCCCUGAACGACAUCACUGCGUUUCAUUUUGGGGACACUACCCUAAAAUUUCAACAAGUGUUUCACAGUUUUCCACAAAAAUUAGGAAGUGGGAACUUAAACAAGAAGUAUACACUAUGCUGACUUCCUCACAUGCACACCUUGUUUUCUGUGUGCAUUUCUGUGUACUGUAAAUGCUUUUUCUUAUUUAUUAUCUGACUGUUAUACAAGAUGCUGUUUUCCACAUACUUAAUGGUGGUUCAAAGGUCUGGAACUCUUUAGAGUUUCCUGUUUCUGUGUAGAUGUGACCUAAAAUGUUAAAAGUGUUACAACAAUAAAUAAAUACACUAUAUCUGUGA